UUUUCUCUGCUUUUCCCUACCCCGGUCACUCUCAUUUCUCUCCCCUAUUCCUUGUCUCUUCCCCCAUCCCCCUUUCUCCUGUCCCACCCUGCCUCUACAGUGGUUCUCCCCGCUGAGCUGCCACCAGCUGCUGGGCCCUGGGCUGCUGCGGCUGGGCCGCCUAUGGCUGCGGUCCCCCUCCCAUACAGCCCCGGCCCCUGGUCUCUGGCUGUCAGGGUUUGGCCUCCUUCGUGGUGACCACCUCUUCCUGUGCUCAGCGCCGGGCCCUGGCCCCCCAGCCCCUGAGGACAUGGUGCAUCUGCGGCGGCUACAGGAGAUCAGUGUGGUUUCUGCAGCUGACACCCCAGACAAGAAAGAGCAUUUGGUCCUGGUGGAGACAGGAAGGACCCUGUAUCUGCAAGGAGAGGGCCGGCUGGACUUCACGGCAUGGAACGCAGCCAUUGGGGGCGCGGCUGGUGGGGGCGGCACAGGGCUGCAGGAGCAGCAGAUGAGCCGGGGUGACAUCCCCAUCAUCGUGGAUGCCUGCAUCAGUUUUGUUACCCAGCAUGGGCUCCGGCUGGAAGGUGUAUACCGGAAAGGGGGCGCUCGUGCCCGCAGCCUGAGACUCCUGGCUGAGUUCCGUCGGGAUGCCCGGUCGGUGAAGCUCCGACCAGGGGAGCACUUUGUGGAGGAUGUCACUGACACACUCAAACGCUUCUUUCGUGAGCUCGAUGACCCUGUGACCUCUGCACGGUUGCUGCCUCGCUGGAGGGAGGCUGCUGGUAUUCCUAAGAUCCCUGAGAACCAAGGCCCAACCAGGAUCUCUGCCUUCCCCCACCAGAAUCCAUGGUUUGGCAGCCCUCCUCCCCAUCACUUCCCACCCUGGGGGAUCAUCCAGAGACUUGGCUCGGGGGGAGGUGGGAAGGGGGCAGAGACACAUCCAUCCUGCAUUUGUGUCUAAAAAUCCCUCCCUCCAUACCAGCUGCCACUCUUUCUUCCUGGGUCCUCCCCAACCCUCCUCCAUUCCAUCCCCAGAGCUGCCCCAGAAGAAUCAGCGCCUGGAGAAAUAUAAAGACGUGAUUGGCUGCCUGCCACAGGUCAACCGCCGCACACUGGCCACCCUCAUUGGGCAUCUCUAUCGGGUGCAGAAAUGUGCGGCUCUAAACCAGAUGUGCACGCGGAACCUGGCUCUGCUGUUUGCACCCAGCGUGUUCCAGACGGAUGGGCGAGGGGAGCACGAGGUGCGGGUGCUGCAAGAGCUCAUCGACGGCUACAUCUCUGUCUUUGACAUCGAUUCUGACCAGGUAGCUCAGAUUGACUUGGAGGUCAGUCUUAUCACCACCUGGAAGGAUGUGCAGCUGUCUCAGGCUGGAGACCUCAUCAUGGAAGUUUAUAUAGAGCAGCAGCUCCCAGACAACUGUGUCACCCUGAAGGUGUCCCCAACCCUGACUGCUGAGGAGCUGACUAACCAGGUACUGGAGAUGCGGGGGACAGCAGCUGGGAUGGACUUGUGGGUGACUUUUGAGAUUCGCGAGCAUGGGGAGCUGGAGCGGCCACUGCAUCCCAAGGAAAAGGUCUUAGAGCAGGCCUUACAAUGGUGCCAGCUCCCAGAGCCCUGCUCAGCCUCCCUACUCUUGAAAAAAGUCCCCCUGGCCCAAGCUGGCUGCCUCUUCACAGGUGAGCCUCCUUCCUCUGCCCAGCAUCCCCCAGGUCUCUCCCCUAGCACCCUCCACCCAGGAUUGCCCAUCUAUGCCCAGGUAUCCGACGUGAGAGCCCACGGGUGGGGCUGUUGCGGUGUCGUGAGGAGCCACCCCGCUUGCUGGGAAGCCGCUUCCAGGAGAGGUUCUUUCUGCUGCGUGGCCGCUGCCUGCUGCUGCUCAAGGAGAAGAAAAGCUCUAAACCAGAACGGGAGUGGCCUUUGGAAGGUGCCAAGGUCUACCUGGGAAUCCGCAAGAAGUUAAAGCCCCCAACACCGUGGGGCUUCACAUUGAUACUGGAGAAAAUGCACCUCUACUUGUCCUGCACUGACGAGGAUGAGAUGUGGGAUUGGACCACCAGCAUCCUUAAAGCCCAGCAUGACGACCAGCAGCCAGUGGUCUUACGACGCCGUUCUUCCUCUGACCUUGCCCGUCAGAAGUUUGGCACUAUGCCUUUGCUGCCUAUCCGUGGGGAUGACAGUGGAGCCACCCUCCUCUCUGCCAAUCAGACCCUGCGGCGACUACACAACCGGAGGACCCUGUCCAUGUUCUUUCCGAUGAAGUCAUCCCAGGGGUCUAUGGAGGAGCAAGAGGAGCUGGAGGAGCCUGUGUACGAGGAGCCAGUGUAUGAGGAAGUAGGGGCCUUCCCUGAGUUGACCCAGGACACUUCUACCUCCUUCUCCACCACACGGGAGUGGACAGUGAAGCCAGAGAACCCCCUCACCAGCCAGAAGUCCUUGGAUCAACCCUUUCUCUCCAAGUCAAGCACCCUUGGCCAGGAGGAGAGGCCACCUGAGCCCCCUCCAGGCCCCCCUUCAAAGAGUGGUCCUCAGGCACGGGGGUCCCUGGAGGAACAGCUGCUCCAGGAGCUCAGCAGCCUCAUCCUGAGGAAAGGAGAGACCACUGCCGGCCUGGGAAGUCCUUCCCAGCCAUCCAGCCCCCAAUCCCCCAGCCCCACUGGCCUUCCAACACAGACACCUGGCUUCCCCACCCAACCCCCGUGCACUUCCAGUCCACCCUCCAGCCAGCCCCUCACAUGACCCUAGGACCAGCAGUCUGAGAGGGUAGGUACCAGAAGACCCAGAAGCUCUUAUCAUGGCACUGUUGCAGCUUCCUCUGCCCUGGCUGGAAAGACUCCAGAAUCCAGUGUGGUGCUGUGGAAGGAGCACUGGACUGAAGGCUUCAGUGGCUGCGUGUCCCAGGACAGGUCAUGGCCCCUCUCUGGGCCCAGCCCAUUUAUCUGUACCAUGAGGUAACUGAAGUAAGGAGAGCAGUGAAUAUCAAACUGUGUUUCUUAGAACCAUAAGCCCCACAUAUUUUCCCUGAACAAGGGCAGCUCCUGCUUUAUAUAUUUGAUAUGUAGGGGUUCUGUGAGAGAUUUUGGGUUUUAAAGGAAUGGUUUUACUGCAUUAAAGAAAAAAAAUGCUUUGGAAACCAGAGGCCUGGAUGAUGUUAAAGUCUAUCCUGUCCCACUUCCUACAUUCUGGGACUACAGUGAAGCCUGGAGUAGGGAGAGUGAUUGAGUUUGGGAGCUGGGACGGGGGGAGUCAAAAAUAGAUGAGUAAUUGUCAAUAAACCUUGGAACC
rnacentral:sRNA from 1 species